ACAAGCGGUGGAGCAUGUGGUUUAAUUCGACGCAACGCGAAGAACCUUACCAGGGCUUGACAUCCCUGACUGCGUAUGAAAGUACGUUUUCACCUUCGGGAGACAGGGAGACAGGUGGUGCAUGGUUGUCGUCAGCUCGUGUCGUGAGAUGUUGGGUUAAGUCCCGCAACGAGCGCAACCCCUACUGCCAGUUACUAACAGGUGAAGCUGAGGACUCUGGCGGAACUGCCGGUGACAAACCGGAGGAAGGUGGGAUGACGUCAAGUCAUCAUGGCCCUUAUGUCCGGGGCUACACACGUGCUACAAUGGGCGAGACAGAGCGACGCGAAGCCGCGAGGUGGAGCAAAUCGCAGAAAAUCGCCCUCAGUUCGGAUUGGAGUCUGAAACCCGACUCCAUGAAGGUGGAAUCGCUAGUAAUCGCGCAUCAGCAUGGCGCGGUGAAUACGUUCCCGGGCCUU
rnacentral:rRNA from 1 species